GCUUACACAUGCAGUCGCACGGGGGCUUCGGCUCGAGUGGCGGACGGGUGAGUAACGCGUAGGAACGUGUCUUGGGGUGGGGGAUAACGCUGGGAAACUGGCGCUAAUACCGCAUAUGGGCUGAGGCCCAAAGCCUUCGGGUGCCUUGAGAGCGGCCUGCGUCCGAUUAGCUAGUUGGUGGGGUAAAGGCUUACCAAGGCGUCGAUCGGUAGCUGGUCUGAGAGGACGAUCAGCCACACUGGGACUGAGACACGGCCCAGACUCCUACGGGAGGCAGCAGUGGGGAAUAUUGGACAAUGGGCGGAAGCCUGAUCCAGCAAUUCCGCGUGGGUGAAGAAGGUCUUCGGAUUGUAAAGCCCUUUCGACAGGGACGAUGAUGACGGUACCUGUAGAAGAAGCCCCGGCUAACUUCGUGCCAGCC
rnacentral:rRNA from 1 species